rnacentral:rRNA from 1 species
ACGUAGGGUGCGAGCGUUAAUCGGAAUUACUGGGCGUAAAGCGUGCGCAGGUGGUUUUGUAAGUCAGAUGUGAAAUCCCCGGGCUUAACCUGGGAACUGCGUUUGAAACUGCAAGGCUAGAGUGUGGCAGAGGGGGGUGGAAUUCCGCGUGUAGCAGUGAAAUGCGUAGAGAUGUGGAGGAACACCGAUGGCGAAGGCAGCCCCCUGGGUCAGCACUGACGCUCAGGCACGAAAGCAUGGGGAGCAAACAGGAUUAGAUACCCUGGUAGUCCAUGCCCUAAACGAUGUCAACUAGUUGUCGGGUCUUAACGGGCUUGGUGACGUAGCUAACGCGUGAAGUUGACCGCCUGGGGAGUACGAUCGCAAGAUUAAAACUCAAAGGAAUUGACGGGGACCCGCACAAGCGGUGGAUUAUGUGGAUUAAUUCGAUGCAACGCGAAAAACCUUACCUACCCUUGACAUGUAUCGAAGCCCGCAGAGAUGUGGGUGUGCCCGAAAGGGAACGAUAACACAGGUGCUGCAUGGCUGUCGUCAGCUCGUGUCGUGAGAUGUUGGGUUAAGUCCCGCAACGAGCGUAACCCUUGUCAUUAAUUGCCAUCAUUUAGUUGGGCACUUUAAUGAGACUGCCGGUGACAAACCGGAGGAAGGUGGGGAUGACGUCAAGUCCUCAUGGCCCUUAUGGGUAGGGCUUCACACGUAAUACAAUGGCGCGUACAGAGGGUUGCCAACCCGCGAGGGGGAGCCAAUCUCAGAAAGCGUGUCGUAGUCCGGAUCGGAGUCUGCAACUCGACUCCGUGAAGUCGGAAUCGCUAGUAAUCGCGGAUCAGCAUGUCGCGGUGAAUACGUUCCCGGGUCUUGCACACACCGCCCGUC